AUUGAUUAGUUCAGUGCUUGGUUUUUGUUCUACCGCUCACAAGGAGAAAAACGAAAUCAAAGACACAUACGAUUAAGUUCGAAAAUGGAUUCCAAGUGUUUUUAGAUUUCGGAGCAAAAAAACUAAAC